ACAGAAACCUUCUUUCCCUCUCCCUGAGCUAGACCCCGAGCAACUGCAGCUCCCCGGCCAUUUUGGUUCUUCUGCCCCGAUCAGAGACAUUCUUUCCCUUUCCCAAUUAUGGUUAUUCUCUCCCUGAUCUAGGUUUUCUACACAGAAGAGUAUCAUCAACCUCUCCCCGAUCUAGGUCAAGAAGACACUGUUGGUGGAGUUCUUCGAUUGCACAAACGAUUUCACGUCGUAGCUGGUGGGACAAUUGCUUAGACUCCUUGCUUCUCAAUUGCAAUUUGAGGCUCAUAGUGCUGGGAGAUGGUUCUGCACCUUUAUUCAUGGCAAGAGAACAUGUCAUUGUCUGAACCUUGCAACUGACUUCACUAUGCGAAGCCGGAGACUUUGGGAUUUUGAAAUUGCUUCAUGGUAUUGGAUUCUAGUCGAGGAAAAUCUGAACAAGGCAGAGUGCAGUUGCUGUCUUGGUUGCCGACGAAUUGGGAACCUGUUUUGAGUCGCUGUCCCUCAUUCUUUUAUUUGUAGAAUAGUAACGUGAUGCCCACCAACUGUUCGAUGAAAGGCCAUAGACAAUCUCUGCAGAAUUUGAUUGAGGUAGUCUUGGUGAGCUUUGUCUUAUUGACUUUUGCUUCUUCCCUUUCUUUGACUUUUAUUCUUCCUUUGAUAAGCCUUUGCAUUCAUCCUUGUUAAUUAAUCCACUGCCUCAUGACAAGAGUCCAGCAGAUUUUGACAAGAAUGCAUUAUAUUUGGCUCAUGCAUGAUUCCAUUGUCUGCUAACGCCACCAUUCAUUUUUUCUUCUUUUGCUUUUGCUUUUCACUUUGUCAUCUUCUGCAAUCAUCUGGAGCACUUUGUUAAUCAAGCUUUUCGUCUUAUUCAUAGCUUAAUUAAACUAGCCCCUUUGGUCUGCAACACCACCAGAACUUUAAUUUUUGUUUUUAUAUAUGUUGCUUUGUGCUUUGGUGUGUUGGAGAAAACUUGAUCAUGUGAUUAUGCUCCAUUAAGUGACUUUCCAAGAGGUGGCUCUGUCAUCUUCACUGAUGGAGAACGAUAGGCCACACAUCCCUUUUUCUUUUAUUUAUUUUUUUAUGAACUGCACUCUUGUAGCUCAUUUGGUUUUCUUCUUUGACACUUUUUUGAGAGAAACCACCGAGCUCAUUUUGAUUUGAAGAGCAGCAGAGCCAAAGUUUCAAAGACUCUUUGCUCGGAUUUUUUUUGUUUGGAUGCAAUAUGAUAACAGCAAGCUGUUUUGACAAGAAAGCUUUAUGCUUUUCUUUUUGUUUCCUCCUUGCUGUCGGUGAGGAUUGACAGAGAUGGGUGCUUUUGGACUCGGUUUGCUUGACAUUCCUUGCAGGUUUGUUGCUGGUUUUGGUCAAGGCGACUUUGAGCAGAGCAGUUUUGUGGUGCUGCUGGGAUUUGAAGAUGAUGUUUGGCUGAGUAGUGGGUAAAUGUAAACGCUUCCUACGAUUCUUUCUUUUUGUUCUGGUACAUGGAUCUAAUUAACUGGUUUGGUUAUCAUUGCAUUCAAUCAAAGAAGAUUAAUUAGAUACUGAAACCAGUUAUCCAUUGUUGAGAUUGAUUGGAAUAUUACCUGACUAAUAUAAAUGUUCCAUUAUCCUCUGAUAUUUGGUUGACGUUUGAAUCAAUGCGUUUAUGCCUUCACGUUUCCAACUUGGUUAUGGUUGGAGGCCCCAGACUAUGUAUUACCUUUUCUUAUUAAUUCUAAUGGAAUCCUUUUCGAAUUCCAUGGUUCUUCAUUAAUUUCUGUUUUGCUUUUUUCCUGCUGAUGUGACCUAUCUUCUGUAGAUUUAUGAUUCUUACUCCUGAGUGCUUGCUGAUGGAUGCAGAACCUCUUUGCAUAUCUAAUGUUUCAGUCAUUUGUUAGUUUUAUAAUAUCCAUGAUUAAUUUUCCAAGUCAUACAUCUCUGAUUGAGUUUACUUUUUUUUUUCUUUUCUUUUUUCCUGUGCAUGAUUGCAAGGAUAUGGAUUUAGUUGCUAGUCUGUUUAGAAAAAAAAAAAAAAAUGCUUCGUUGCAUUGCCAAGUAUCAAGAAAACAUUUUGCAUUAGAUGGUGGAAUUAUAGUUCCAUACUCAGAUCAACAGCCAACUUGAAGCAUUUCAAGUUUUCUGAUCCUUUUUGUUCUCUUUAUUAAGACUGGAGUUCUUUGUAGAUUAUAGAUAGUAUAGUACUUGCACUCAUUGCUGACCCUGCAAUUUUAUUAGCAUGUUAUAAAACAUUCUUUUAGUAUAGGCCAGAAUUAAGAUUUUAUUGUUUUCUUGGGUCACAUUUGUAGUUUCAUGUAAUGCAAAUGUCAAUGUCUGGUCCAGGAAACUCUACCUAGAUUAUCUCCUCGUCUUGGAGUGGAAAUGGUUCAGAAGAAAAUAGCUGCAGCCUUGAAACAUUAGUGGGUUCUGGCUUUCCUUGUAAUCAAAGUUAAGUAUUCUUCUCUGUAAUGUAGGUCUUCAAUUGUAAGAAAUUAUAUUUUGGAAUAUUCAGAUCAACUUUUGUAGCCAAUACUUUAAUUGAAUGGUCAGACAAAUUGUUUUGAAAAAAAAAAAAAAAAAAAAGAGAUGAUCAGUCUUCAGUAAUAGUCAAAUUGUAUUACCUGCAAUUCGGAAGUGCAAGACUUGGUGUUUGGUAAGCAUUUUUAGGUUUAACUCUACAACUGAAGUUUGGUUUGUAUUUUUGAGACUUAACUAGUAAUAUAUGUAUAUAUAUUACAUGAUUUCGCAGGAUAUAGGGGAAGGAGUUCUUGCUUCAUGUGGAUCUUAUUUUAAGUAAAAGCUUGGAGUUAGGCUCAUUAGGCUAGCAUUGGAAGCGGAUGAUUGGCUUACACACAGAAGGAUAUUGAUGUGGUUUGAGCUGAAUGGGCAAAUCAUGUUAUGCAGUUCUAACUUUGGUUCUGUUUAAGGUAGAUGAGUAGCACUUGGAACUGCUUUUGUGCAUUUAUAUAUAACUGAUGGAAAGUGUUGAUGAACUUAAAUUAUGCAUGCAGUUGCUCUGUC